AAUGGCCAUCAGUCCAGGAAGUGAUGCGGCUUUCUCGGGUCAGAAACCAACGCGUUCAGAGAGUCCUCGAUCAAAGAAAUUUCUGCUAACUGAAGAAGAGAUAUUUUAUAUGAAUUGUAGAGCUGCCUACUUAACUGUUUUCAAAAGCAGUUUAGAUAACAUUAUUUCUAAAGAUCAACUUUACUUAGCUCUUCAGCACGCAGGAAGAAAUCCAUCCCAAAAGACCAUUAAUAAGUAUUGGACUCCUCAAACUGCCAAACUGAAUUUUGAUGAUUUUUGUAUAAUUUUAAGAAAGGAAAAGCCAACCUCAAAAGCAGAAUUGCUAAAAUCAUUUAAGCAAUUAGAUGUAAAUGAUAAUGGCUCUAUUUUACACACUGAUCUUUAUAAACUUCUAACAAAGAAAGGUGAGAAGAUGACUCGAGAAGAAGUAAAUGCCAUAAUAAACUUGGCUGAUGUAAAUGCAGAUGGCAAAUUUGACUAUAUCAAGUUUUGUAAAUUAUAUAUGGCAACCAAUGAACAGUGUCUCAAAACGGCUCUAGAAAAAUUGGAGGUUGACAGUAAACUGAGGCGUCAACAGUUUGGAAGCCACAUGGAAGGGUCCCCUGAAAGGGACCCAUCACCAGUACCAAAAGCAUCACCUAGAAUCAUAAGAAAAACUGAUCAGGAAUCAUUCUCAAAUAAAGGUGACACCAGGAAUUCUUCACUGGCAACAGCCAGACAGUUCAAAACAUCUGUUUCCGUAACAGUUACCGUGGGUGCUGAUAGUAAUCAAAACUCAAAGUUAAUUGAGCCACACUCAAUAAAGAAACCAUCCCCUUGGUUGUCAGUUGAUACUGCCUUGUAUAUUCUUAAGGAAAAUGAAAGUCAAGCAAAUCUACAACUCUUGUGUUUUACCGAACUACGAAAUAGAGAAACGUUUGGGUGGACUGGUGAACUAGGACCUGGAAUUUACUGGUUAGUUCCUUCCACAACUGGCUGCAGGCUAAGAAAAGAAAUAAAACCAGUAACAGAAGAAGCCCAACUUGUAUACAGAGAUGAAACAGGGGAAUUAUUUCUUACACAGGAGUUUAGGUCAACUUUAUCAGAUAUAUUUGAAGUAAUUGAUUUAGACGGAAAUGGUCUUCUUAGUCUUGAAGAAUAUAAUUUUUUUGAAUUGAGAACAAGCGGUGAGAAAUGUGAUGAAGAUGCUUGGGCUGUCUGCAGAGAGAAUUUUGAUACCAAGAAAAAUGAACUAACAAGACAGGGCUUUAUGGAUCUGAAUCUGAUGGAAGCCAACGAUCGAGAAGGGGAUCCUCGUGAUCUCUGGGUAACUCUGCACUCAAUGGGCUACAAUAAAGCUCUGGAACUGACGGAGGCAUGCCCAUUUGUCAUUGAUAUCUAUGCAGACAAAUGCAAGCCAAGAAUUAAAGCUGUCCAUAUGGAAGCAUGCAGUGGACAACUUGAGAAGGCCAUUUGUAAAUCUGUUCUUAACAAAGGCAAUGCCAAAGUGAUGGAUGGCUAUGAAAAUAUAAUUAUAUAUACUUAUAAGCGUGACACCUGGAUAACAUCAGUUAUUGAAAACAAGUCAGACAAUAAAGUGAUUAUUCACAUCAACAAUGAGCUGAGUAGAAACUGUGUAAACAACAGAGGCCUCGACAUAUUUGCAGUAGAAGUGGCACCAAAAUCUACAAUGGUUUGUCAACAUGUAAUGCCACUGAAUGAGCGACAAGAAUGGAUAUAUUAUUGUGUGUAUUCCCUUAUAUCUUAAACACUAUUUUUAAGAAAUUACUGUGCUUGAGACUGUCAAACUAAGAAUUAUUUCAAGUUUGGUUUGUUAUUUGUUGAUCACUACAUAUAAUCAAUUUAACUGAUGUAUAUAAUAAUCUCUUUAAUUUGUAUGCAUUUGGGUUUCAUGUCCUUAUUAUAUACUGU
rnacentral:lncRNA from 1 species